AAUAUCUUGCAUGAAGAACAUAUAUGUAACGUACCAUAUACGUCAUAAGAAAACAUAAGGAAACUAUUACAGAAGUAAAUCUGUUAUAUACUAUUUUGUAAUGCUCCAAUAAUUUCUAAUACUAUGUCUCAACAGUCAAUACACUUAGAAUAAAACAUUUCUCAUUGAUGCGAAUAUAAUGUCUCGCAUGACAUAUUCCAUUAUGAUGAAUAAGACUAUUCUAGAAGCUAAUGAUCCGUGUCAGGGGACAGGACCUUGCUAAUGUCAAGUGGUCGAAGUCGAAGAGUUAUGUGCAUAAACGCCUGCUCUGUGAUUUAUCUCGUUUGAGAUUCUGACCGCAUACAUGUGUAUUAUCUGCGAUGAAAACUCAACACGUGAAAACAAACUGAACGCCGGCCAGAUCAAAUAAUAGAUUCAUUUUUAUAUUGUAAUAUUAAGGCAUAAAACCUCUUUGAUUCCA